rnacentral:lncRNA from 1 species
AUGAAUUAUUACACUAGUGCAUUUACUAGUCUCCUUGCUUCCGUCUUGCCCCUGAAUGUUCAUUCUCUUCAUUAUAACAGAGCAAUCCUGUUAACCAUCAUGGAGAUUAUGGAAAUCCUCUGUGCAAAGCACUUCAGUGGCUCCCCUCUUACUAAAGAGAAACAGCAUGAGCAGGAGGGGCAGAGGGAGACAGAGUGAGAGAAUCUUAAGUAGACUCCACGCUGACAUGAAGCCCAAUGCAGGGCUUGAUCCCAUGACACUGAGAUCAUGACGCAAGCCAAAACCAAGACUUGGACACUUAACUGACUGAGCCACACAGGUACCACUCCUCUGUAGAAUUCUUCAAGUUUUCCUGAGCUUGAAAUGUCAGAUCUUCCUGUAGUUAUGACCAUGGGCCUCAGGCUCCAGCAGCUGUUGAUUCUGCCUUUGAAUAGCUGGAUGACUCUGAACAAAGUUACCCAUCAUCUCUGAGCACUGCUUUUCUCACCUGUAAAACCGGAUAAUAAUUGUCGCUAACUCAAGAUCUUUAAAAUGCUUAUCCUCAAUGAGUGGCUCAGUAAAUGUAUGUUAAAUGCUCAGUAAAUGUUAGUUAUUUUUAACUUUCAUAUUUAUCUUGGGGGGAGAAGCUGUUUUUUAAAAGUAUCUCAGCUUUCUAUUAAACUGAGUAUCCUUUGUCACUUCCAUUGUGGCAAGUAGCAUAUAUUUCUUUUUAGUUUCCUUUUAUUGAUGGAAUAUAUUUUCUGAGAUUGGUCUUGCUAAUUCAUAAGCAUAUGAGUUCGUUCUACUUAAUAAACCAUAUAAAUGUCC